AGAUUGGCCCCAAGGGUUUUAAAGCCAAUUAAUAACAUGAUGGGUUCUUCAUCAAGGACUGGGUUAAAACCAUUUGAUAAUGGUGCGAAAAUGGGGCUUAAAGAUGAUGCUAACCCAUUUUUUGGUUCAACCUGUUCAGAUUAUAGGGCCCUAGAUAUCAACAAAAGAAAGGCUGUCAAGUUGGUUUAGUCAUGGAACAUUGCUCCAAUCCUUGAAAGUGAAAUCGAUUCUUUCAAAAUUGGGGAACGCAGCAUGGAUGACAAGAAUACAGGUCAACGACCGACCAGAUUAAAGGAAAUCCAACACACACGACCACCAGAUAUGUAAUUGGAGAUUUGAAAGUAGCCCUCAGUGGAGGUAACGAUGGAUAUGAAGAAAAUAGUUGAAGGCAUUGAAAGGGAAUCAGGGACUGAUUUGGAGGCAAAAGUAAAAUUAAGG